rnacentral:rRNA from 1 species
UACGUAGGGGGCGAGCGUUAUCCGGAAUUAUUGGGCGUAAAGAGUACGUAGGCGGGAAAUUAAGCGCAGGGUUUAAGGCAAAGGCUUAACCAUUGUUCGCCCUGUGAACUGAUUUUCUUGAGUGCAGGAGGGGAAAGCGGAAUUCCUAGUGUAGCGGUGAAAUGCGUAGAUAUUAGGAGGAACACCAGUGGCGAAGGCGGCUUUCUGGACUGUAACUGACGCUGAGGUACGAAAGUGUGGGGAGCAAACA